AGAAACUAUACGUCAUCGGACGCAUAGGAAAAACUCAACGUUUACCAAAACCAUCGGAGAGGUAACCAUGCUGGGGAGAGAGAACAAGACUCAACCAAACGUCAACGGACGAUAUGGGAAAAACUCGACGUUUAUCGACACCAACGGAGAGGAGGAACGGACAUCGACGGAUGACUCGGAAAGGAGAUACAACUAGAUAUCAAUGGAUAACUAGGAAAAACUCGACGUUUAUCGAAACCAACGGAGAGGUAGCUCACUGGGGAUCAAGGUC
rnacentral:lncRNA from 1 species